CUGUAACAUGCGCAACCAGCUGCGUUUUAUUAUUAUUAUUAUUAUUAUUAUUAUUAUUAUUAUUAUUAUUAUUAUUUUGUCUUAGUAAUGUCAGGAGAGAGAGAAAAUAAAGGCUAGCUGCUGUAACGUAAGUGACAACAGGAACUAUCUUGUGUUACAAACAUUCCACAGCAUUAAAUAUAACUAUAAACAAAUCUAAAGUAUGAUGUUUUUGUUUAGUUUUUUUUUUUUUUUUUUUUUGCAAUUUGCUGUGGUAUAAGAGGAAUAAAACACUCCAGGACAUGUUAUAGGAAACAGUAUUAACUGUGGGCCGGUAACAGUAACGCCACAUCGUCACACCUCCCCGCUGUAGCCUGUGGCACUAGGGGAUAUACAGCGUGUCCCAAAAGUAUCCGUACGAGCGGGAAAUUAACAUGUUCUAGCUAAACUUCCGAAGGUGUUCAUGCUUAGUUUAUAUCAUGUUCUUAUUAUUUUCCCCCGAUCGUCUCGAAGAACGCCUUUGACAAAAGGAGAAGGUAUUGAAAUGGUUCUCAGGGCUGGAUCAGGAAUCUGUGGACUUUAACAGGAAACGUGGCGAGCUCAUCACACACGACACUGUCGCCAAACUUCUUAACACGUUCCUGAAGACCGGAAGUGUCGCGGAUAAACCGAGAAGAAGUGGACGUCCAGGAGCCUCCGCUGGCGAAGGCACAACCCACGUGGCGCUGGUGUGCGUCGUCCCUUAUGGAUGGAGACGUUUGAGACAAAAUGUCAAAUGUAUUACUGUAUGUCGAAAAAGACAAGCAGAAAAUCAAAACAAAAACACAUCUGAAAUAACACGACCAAUCAAAAAGUAAACAAAAAAAGAAAUUCUUACAAAACAAAAGAGUAUACUUACACACAGAUUAGCAUACUCACACCUAGCAUACUUACAUAAAAACUACUAAACAUAGACCCUUAUGGACGGAGACUCCGGCACACCAAAAGAGACAGAGACAGACAGAGAGAGUGAGAGAGACAGAGAGAGUGAGAGAGACAGAGAGAGAGAGUGAGAGAGACAGAGAGAGUGAGAGAGAGAGAGAGAGAGAGACAGAGAGAGAGAGAGAGAGACAGAGAGAGAAACAGAGAGAGAAACAGAGUGAGGGAGAGAGAGAGAGAGAGACAGAGAGAGAGAGAGACAGAGAGAGAGAGACAGACAGACAGAGAGAGAGAGAGAGAGAGAGAGA
ensembl:lncRNA